UGGGGAAUUUUCGACAAUGGGGGGAACCCUGAUCGAGCCAUCCCGCGUGUGGGACGAAGGCCUUCGGGUUGUAAACCACUUUUCUCAACGAAGAAAAGUCUUAGGCUAAUACCUUAAGAUGCUGACGGUAGUUGAGGAAUAAGCACCGGCUAACUAUGUGCCAGCAGCCGCGGUAAUACAUAGGGUGCAAGCGUUAAUCGGAAUUACUGGGCGUAAAGGGUGCGCAGGCGGCUUGGAAAGAACGGUGUGAAAUCCCGGGGCUCAACCCCGGAACUGCACUAUUAACUAUCAAGCUAGAGUAUGUCAGAGGGGGGUGGAAUUCCGCGUGUAGCAGUGAAAUGCGUAGAUAUGCGGAGGAACACCAAUGGCGAAGGCAGCCCCCUGGGAUAAUACUGACGCUCAGGCACGAAAGCGUGGGUAGCAAACAGG
rnacentral:rRNA from 1 species